rnacentral:rRNA from 1 species
AGGAGUUGCUCUGCCUUGCUUGCUUGACCGCCGGCUAGGUGGGGAGGAGAAACAAGUUCUCGGGUCUCCUGGCUUUGGCCUGCUUGCCAUGUGGGUGGGUGGGCUGAGGUUGGGUGAGCCUUGCGGCCUGAGCCUGUCUGCUCGGUGCUGAUCACGCCAUGUCCGGCCUGGUCGGAGCCCUCGGCUCUCCAGGCUCGCUGGCGGCCCAAGGUGGGAUGUGGAUCAUGCCUUGUCCCACCUUGGGUUUGAGUGUGCACCUGCCCCCCCCAGUGGAGGGUUGUGAAAUGGAAAGGUGAUGGAUAGAGUUUCUUAACUGUGGUGCUUGGUGAGGUAGGAGGAUGGCUGGCUGGCUGGCUGACUGGCUGGCUGGCUGGCUGGCCUUCUGCCUCCCCUUUGCUCCCAAACAAAGAAAAUAUCAACACCGUACAGUGGAUCACUUGGCUCGGGGGUCGAUGAAGAACGCAGCUAGCUGCGAGUCGGAAUGUGAACUGCAGGACAUAUGGAGCAUCGACACUUUGAACGCACAUUGCGGACAUGGGCUUGUCCCCUGUCCAUGUCUGGCUCAGGGUCGGCUUUACAUCCAUCCAGCUUGAUUGCUGGCCUUGGGGUCUGUCUCCUCAGCUAUGAUGCUGAGGAGUCCCCCGAAGAUGUGCCGCCUGCCUAGCCGGAGGUGAGCUCCUUGCUGACUCUUGGGUGUGACUUUGCGUCUGCCUGGGUUGGCGAACAAAAAGGGGGCUUGCUUCUGGUGGUGGGCUUGCGGGAGGGGGGGUUUCUGGUUCCCCCACCCGAACUGGGUGGUGAUGGGCAUACGGACGGACGGACGGAUGGACAUACAGUUGGUUGGCCUUCUGGCUGGCUGGCUGGGUGGCUGACUGUCUGGCUGGCUGGCCCCUUUGCCACCUUGCUUUUU